UACGGGGGGGGCAAGCGUUGUUCGGAAUUACUGGGCGUAAAGGGCUCGUAGGCGGCCAACUAAGUCGGAUGUGAAAGCCCCCGGCUCAACUGGGGAGGGUCACGCGAUACUGAUCGACUCGAAGGCAGGAGAGGGUAGUGGAAUUCCCGGUGUAGUGGUGAAAUGCGUAGAUAUCGGGAGGAACACCAGUGGCGAAGGCGACUACCUGGCCUGUUCUUGACGCUGAGGCGCGAAAGCUAGGGGAGCAAACGGG
rnacentral:rRNA from 1 species